rnacentral:rRNA from 1 species
CAAUAGCGUAUAUUAAAGUUGUUGCAGUUAAAAAGCUCGUAGUUGGAUUUGUGGCGUACGGUGUGUUCCGGGCACUUGUUGUCUGAGUAACCUGCUGUUGCCAUCCUUGGGUGGAACCUGUGUGGCAUUAGGUUGUCGUGCAGGGGAUGCCCAUCAUUUACUGUGAAAAAAUUAGAGUGUUCAAAGCAGGCUUAUGCCGUUGAAUAUAUUAGCAUGGAAUAAUGAGAUAGGACUUUUUUGCUGUUUUGUUGGUUUGCGCAAAGAGGUAAUGAUUAAUAGGGACAGUUGGGGGUAUUCGUAUUCCAUUGUCAGAGGUGAAAUUCUUGGAUUUUUGGAAGACGAACUACUGCGAAAGCAUUUACCAAGGAUGUUUUCAUUAA